CCUACGGGGGGCUGCAGUGGGGAAUAUUGGACAAUGGGCGAAAGCCUGAUCCAGCCAUGCCGCGUGUGUGAAGAAGGCCUUCGGGUUGUAAAGCACUUUCAGUGGGGAAGAAAGCCUUGGGGCUAAUACCCUCGAGGAAGGACAUCACCCACAGAAGAAGCACCGGCUAACUCCGUGCCAGCAGCCGCGGUAAUACGGAGGGUGCGAGCGUUAAUCGGAAUGACUGUGCGUAAAGCGCGCGUAGGCGGUCUGAUAAGCCGGUUGUGAAAGCCCCGGGCUCAACCUGGGAACGGCAUCCGGAACUGUCAGGCUAGAGUGCAGGAGAGGAAGGUAGAAUUCCCGGUGUAGCGGUGAAAUGCGUAGAGAUCGGGAGGAAUACCAGUGGCGAAGGCGGCCUUCUGGACUGACACUGACGCUGAGGUGCGAAAGCGUGGGUAGCAAACAGGAUUAGAUACCCUAGUAGUC
rnacentral:rRNA from 1 species